rnacentral:rRNA from 1 species
CCUACGGGCGGCAGCAGUGAGGAAUAUUGGUCAAUGGCCGAGAGGCUGAACCAGCCAAGUCGCGUGAGGGAAGACGGCCCUACGGGUUGUAAACCUCUUUUGUCGGGGAGCAAAGCGAACCACGUGUGGUUCAUUGAGAGUACCCGAAGAAAAAGCAUCGGCUAACUCCGUGCCAGCAGCCGCGGUAAUACGGAGGAUGCGAGCGUUAUCCGGAUUUAUUGGGUUUAAAGGGUGCGCAGGCGGAGGUGCAAGUCAGCGGUCAAAUUGCGGGGCUCAACCCCGUACUGCCGUUGAAACUGCAUCCCUUGAGUGCGCGAGAAGUAUGCGGAAUGCGUGGUGUAGCGGUGAAAUGCAUAGAUAUCACGCAGAACGCCGAUUGCGAAGGCAGCAUACCGGCGCCCGACUGACGCUGAGGCACGAAAGCGUGGGGAUCGAACAGGAUUAGAUACCCUUGUAGUC